rnacentral:rRNA from 1 species
GCAAGGAAAGUUGAGGCAAUAACAGGUCUGUGAUGCCCUUAGAUGUUCUGGKCUGCACGCGCGCUACACUGAUGCAUCCAACAAGUUGUUGAAAACCUUGGCCGAUAGGUUUAGGUAAUCUUUUGAGUAUGCAUCGUGAUGGGGAUAGAUUAUUGCAAUUAUUAAUCUUCAACGAGGAAUGCCUAGUAGGCGCAAGUCAGCAGCUUGCGCCGAUUACGUCCCUGCCCUUUGUACACACCGCCCGUCGCUCCUACCGAUUGAGUGUUCCGGUGAAUUAUUCGGACUGUUCCGUGUUUCGCGGCAACGUGUGUGCGGAAUGGAAAGUUUUGUGAACCUUAA